UACGAGGGGUGCAAGCGUUAAUCGGAAUUACUGGGCGUAAAGCGUGCGUAGGUGGUUUGUUAAGCAAGAUGUGAAAGCCCCGGGCUCAACCUGGGAACUGCAUUUUGAACUGGCAAGCUAGAGUAUUGUAGAGGGUAGUGGAAUUUCCAGUGUAGCGGUGAAGUGAUGCGAUGAGAGUAGUGAAGGAACAUCAGUGGCGAAGGCGGCUACCUGGACAAAUACUGACACUGAGGCACGAAAGCGUGGGGAG
rnacentral:rRNA from 1 species